AACACAUGCAAGUCGAGGGGAAACGACAUCGAAAGCUUGCUUUUGAUGGGCGUCGACCGGCGCACGGGUGAGUAACGCGUAUCCAACCUGCCCACCACUUGGGGAUAACCUUGCGAAAGUAAGACUAAUACCCAAUGAUAUCUCUAGAAGACAUCUGAAAGAGAUUAAAGAUUUAUCGGUGAUGGAUGGGGAUGCGUCUGAUUAGCUUGUUGGCGGGGUAACGGCCCACCAAGGCUACGAUCAGUAGGGGUUCUGAGAGGAAGGUCCCCCACAUUGGAACUGAGACACGGUCCAAACUCCUACGGGAGGCAGCAGUGAGGAAUAUUGGUCAAUGGACGAGAGUCUGAACCAGCCAAGUAGCGUGCAGGAUGACGGCCCUAUGGGUUGUAAACUGCUUUUAUAAGGGAAUAAAGUGAGUCUCGUGAGGCUUUUUGCAUGUACCUUAUGAAUAAGGACCGGCUAAUUCCGUGCCAGCAGCCGCGGUAAUACGGAAGGUCCGGGCGUUAUCCGGAUUUAUUGGGUUUAAAGGGAGCGUAGGCCGGAGAUUAAGCGUGUUGUGAAAUGUAGACGCUCAACGUCUGCACUGCAGCGCGAACUGGUUUCCUUGAGUACGCACAAAGUGGGCGGAAUUCGUGGUGUAGCGGUGAAAUGCUUANAUAU
rnacentral:rRNA from 1 species